GUUUUUUUCCGAGCUCCGCAUGUGGACGUCAUGACGUCAUGACGUCUUCUCUCUAACCUGAACGACGUUGACAGAAAAUUCUGUUCAAUAUGGCUGCCCUUCUCGAGCGACUGGAGAACACAUUUGGAGAAACUUGUAAGUAAAACGGAACCUUCGUUAUGUUUAUUUUUUCCGUAAAAAAGCAAGUAUAUUAAUAUGUUGCAGCCAAUAACUUGUUUUCGAAUGCGCUGUUGUGUUAAAAAGCACAGACCCAGGUGGUGAAUAGUUGUUCGCGCUCUUUUUCAAACAUAGAUUAUGUCGUCAGUUUUACAGUUUUAACCGAUUAAAACACAACGCAAGAAAGUUGGCGUUUUUACAACAGCAGCCUCAUUGUUCGGCAGGUUUUUGUUUUUUUUUCUUCUCAUUAGCAUCAUUCAAAAGUGACUUAGCUAGCAGUGGCAACUUCUAUCUAAAACAAUUGAAAUAUAGCAAGGUGUUGUAUAUUUAGUGUGCUGAUAAGGUUUUCAAUAUUUUUAUUUUUUCUUCCAAGGCUGAAGGCCAAAGACAAAAAGACAGAAGAAAAAAAAAUUCAGACUGCAAUUAAUUUCAGGUGGAGACAGUAAACACAGGAGGCGCCUGAUAUCAACGUGAAACGCACUGCAGUACUUCGUGCCCUUCCUGUAUACCUGCGGGAGGAGGACCCAGAAUUCUUUUAGACAUGUAAUAGCCACAACAGGACCCACAAGAACAUGGGAACAAGUAAAAGUGGAAUACAGGAGUAUUCUACAGAAUGGUAAUAUUUAUCUCUUAGAUUGCUUUGCGUCUCUUGGCAAGGUAAUACUGGCCUGUAAUACUCUGUUAGUUUGUUCAUAACAGCAACCAAGAAAAGGGCAGAGGAAAAAAAGACAGGUGGUGGUCCUGCACCCCCUCGUCAACAAGUUGGUUAAGUAAAUAAUACCCUCACGGGAAAAUCGAUAUCUCUCUAUGAGCACACUGUCGCGCUGAGCUAAAGGAUCCUGUCUAUCCCACAAUAUACGCUGGAUUCUGAGGACUCUCCUUAUCAAUCUUGCACCUUCCGCAAUGGGCUGCUCGCGUAUACGGACAGGACAUGGCUGCGACAGACUUCCCAAAUCCACCUUCGCUUUUAUAGCCGUGGUCUCUCAUCUUGAUUACACGAAGUAAUUUACAAUUACUACUCUGAAAUAUGAAUUACAUCUGUAAUAAUCACA
ensembl:lncRNA